AGAGUUUGCAACUUACUGCCAUUUUAAUGUAGAAUUAGCAGUAAGAGUAAAUUUAAUUAAUCCAUUUCUGACAAGAAAUCCUUUAACCAAUAUCAAGUUUAAAGCCACAGAUAAUCAGGUCUCAACCAACCUUAAAACUUAUUUUAUAUUUUAAAGAAUUUUGCUUUGCUCCUCUUUGAUCACAUCAUAUUCAUACUCACUUUUAUGCCUUUUCUCACCUUUUCUGUCACAUCCAUAAUUAUAUUCCUUGAUUACCUAUGGCCCCCCUAUUCUAUAAAUCCUCUCAAUCUACAAAACUUCUUGUUGACAUUCUUCUCUGAUAAACUUUGUGAUUUUCAUGGCUGUGGGCAGGGGUUAAAGAAGUUAGGGUAGUCAUAAAGAAUCUAGACCAAGGAGUUCCCAUCAUGGCUCAGUGGUUAACCAACCGGACUAGCAUCCACGAGGAUGUGGGUUCGAGCCCUGGCCUCACUCCGUGAGUUAAGGAUCUGGUGUUGGCCAUGACCAGUGGCAUAGGCUGGUGGCUACAGCUAUGACUGGAUGACGUAUGCUGUGGGUGCGGCCCUAAAAAGACAAAAUAAUAAUAAUAAUUAUCUAGUCCAAGAACUGUGGUUCUCUUUGGGCAGUAUGUCACAAGAGACAUUUUAAGAAAUUUCCAGGUUUUGUUUUUUUAUUUAAUAAUUUCACAAUAAUGAGAGGGACUACUGUCACUUAGUUGAUAAGGGACAGAGAUCCUAGAGGUUAAAGAAUGUAUGGGAUAAUCCCUAACUACAAAGAACUGUAUUCUGUUCUAUAACAGAAGAUAGUUAUGUUGUUGGUAAUCAGUAUAUAACUUCCUGAGCUUAACUUUAACUGUGUUUUACAUUUUUUGAUGGAUUUAUAAGCUAUAAUUCUCAGGAAGGUAAAUAUCAUGUAAAUCAAGAGAAGUGUGAAUUUUGACUAGAAUUUAAGUUUUUUCACUAUUUCUAAAAAUUGCAUGAUCAAUGGCAACACAGUUUGUAGAAUUCAUGUGACUAAUCAACAAAAUUUGUCUAUAGCUGUUGCAUGCAAAUACACAAUGAAGAAGAUCUGAAGAAUUUUUUAAUUAUUUGGAAGCAAAUAGUAUCUAAAGUGGACAAACAAAAUGUAGAGAACUCAUUACACACUUCAUUUGCAAAAGCUGUUAUAAUAUUUCAUAUUACCAUCCUAAAUGUUUGUGUACUAGUACAUUGAUAAGAAGUUUAGGCUGUGAAAAUUCUAUAGUAAAAGCAGUUUUUAUUUAAUCCCCAGGUUUCUAAUGGAAUUUCUCUAUUGAGAGAAUUUACUUUCUCAAAUUAUUCUUUUUCCCUAUUAUACCUAAAAAAUAUGUACUUUUAAACUAUAGACUAAAUAUUAGUAUGUAUUUAACUUGAAUAUGUUUCAAGAGAAGAGAUAUGUUUUCCGUGAUACUUAAUUUCUAUCUCAUUCCAUGUCAUAUAAACGGAUAUUAUUUUGUCUCUACAUUAUAAGCAGUAUAGACAAAGAAAGAAAAUAGCAGUGUUUGAUAUUUACGUAAUUGGAGAUAAUAGUGUUUUGCAAAACUUUAAAAAAAAUCAUAUAACUACAUGUACUCACGAAAAUAUUUGCUAGUGUCCUGGGUCAUGAUGUAAUAUAUAUCUUACUGCUAUUCUCAGUUAUGAAUAUAUUUAUGUUUAUAAACAGUCACUAUAAUAUUGGAAGCUGGAAUUUUAAAGAAAGCUUAUGCAAGAGUAAAAUUCCAUUUAUAAUACAAAUAAUAUUCAUAUUAUUUUACAAAAAUUAGCUCCUAUAGAUUGUUUAUAUAAAACCGUAUUACUUAUUAUGGUUCAAUUUUAUGUUUGCAAUACCCAGUGUUCAGAUUUUGGUAAGGCUAGAACAAAGGAACCAUAUGCUAUCAAAUACAUAUUCUAGUUCUACAUAUUAUCACACAGAAAACUUGUUUAGAGCAUUGAAAUUGCAUUGUUUUUAUCUUCCCUAUUUUCAAUAAUCAUCUCUAAACUUUAGGGUUUUUUUUUUUUUUCAUAUCUCAAACUCGAGAUACCAGUUUAGCUCUUCUCUAAUAGAGGAUCAUAUUCUCAGGGAUAAGGCUCAGAAGUGGGUUUUAGGAUUAUUUUAAAAAGAUGAAAUGAGAAGAUCUACCUAUCCCUUCCACAUUAUUAUACAAGAACACAGGUAUUUUUGCUAUAUAGUCUCACUUAUCUGAACCUAAUGACUCCUUCAGCUGUAAAAAAAAUUACUAUGGGGUAAAACAAGAAUGAAUACAUCCAGAGCCUGUGUCCUCAUUACGCUCUCAGUUUAGGGAAUACAAGACUAGUACAGAAAAUUGAGGAAGCUCACAAUGAUAAAGCGUGUAUUAAAAUGUCUUAUACAGGUGAAAUAAAUAGGAAUUCGGAACGGAGAGAGAGAGGACAGAGGCUGCAGAGAGAAAAUAGAGAGGAAGGUAAGCAGUCUGAUUACGAAAAAAAGCCUAUAUUGUUAAAUCAUGGAGAAAAGAUUAGAGAGGUGGAGAAAGCAGCAGACAUAUUAUAGAGUCUCUAGUACAUAAUCAGCUUCAUAAAAAGUACAAUGUGAAUCUGUGGCAAGAACAGAUAAUGUUUAAAUGGCUAGGUGAAAAUAGCUCUUCUGGUCUUAAAAAAUGCUUACAUAAUUUCUUAAUAUCACUUUUAAUGCACUGAAGACAUUUUCCUUGUCUCCUUUGUUUGAAAUUCCCAGAUGGAAAAAUCAUUGUUAUUGAGACAGAAAACUCAAAGAAGUCUUUAAUAUUUAUGGUUCAUUACUUAAUUAUAUGAAUGUUUUUGCCUUUGUAUGUUGGUUUUUUUUUUCCUAUUGUAGGAACUUUUUAAUGUUCACUCUCUCUGUUAGUUAUUCAAUCUUUGUACUUUCUAUUUUCCUAUUUCUCUGAAAAGUUGAUAUCAAGAAUAUGUUUCUAACAUUUAUGGCACAAAAUAUGAAAGGACCAAGCUCUAAAGAGGGCAGUAUUAAAUUCCGUGAAAAGUAUGACAAAUAUAUAACCAUUAUUAUGUUCAUAAAAAGCAAAUACAUCUCUCACUCAUUCACUCCCUGCUACUUCAAAUGGCUCCUCUUGACAACCGUAUGUUGUUUUUGAUGUUUUAUGUGUUGAGCAUUCCUGGACGCGGAACAUGUUCUUUGCAGUUUAAAGCCUAUAAAUUGGUUGUAUGCUACAGAGAAGUAAUCUUUAAAAUAUGUCUCCUGUGUGUACCUGUUCAUUGAUCCAGUACCUUACCUUAUGGUCAUGCUCACAUUCAAUAAUCAUUAUUAUGGAAAUAACAAUGCUUGCCUGUUUCAACUAGUAGUAUCAGCAGAUGCUAAGAGUACUAGAAAUCACAUAGGCUCUCAUGCAUACGUUUUGGACUGACUGACUGCUUUUGACAGGGGAACAUAUUUAUGAGCGUAUUUUCAUUCUUUUCCCCACCUGUUUCAAAUCUUCAAAGAGCUCAUUCUCCUGCUUCAUAAUUUUAGUGCUUCAACAUGGUCUCCCUUAUUGUCCUUUUCAUUUAUCUACUGCUCAGCAAAACUUGCCAAAAACUUUAGGAGACAUGUCAAGGAGCAGUAAAAGUUCUGAAACACACUGAGACGACAUUAUUCAAGAACUAUUGAGUCAAAAAAUAACUUCCAAAAAAAUAAUUUUUUGGCCAGCUUUUAAUUUUGAUUAUAAUACAUAUGUUUUUGUUUGUUUGUUUUUUUUAAGGCAGCACCUGUGGCAUAUGGAAUUUCCCAGGUUAGGGGUCAAAUUGGAGCCACAGCCACACAACAUGGGAUUCAAGCUACGUCUGCGACAUACACCACAGCUGACAGCAACUCCAGAUCCCACACCACUGUGCAAGGCCAGGAAUAGAACCCAUAUCCUCAUGGAUACUAGUUGGAUUUUUUUCCACUGUGCCACAAUAGGAACUCCCUUGGGUAAAUAUAUUUUUAAAUCUUAAUUUUAUCUAUUCAGAUACAUGUGAUUAUUACUUAAGAUUUUAGAGGGAAGAAAAGUACUAGAUAGCUACCAACUUUUUUCUUUUCUCUUUUGUUCAGCAGCACCCUCUCCUGUUCCAAGGAUCAAAUCUGAGCCAGAGUGCAACCUACACCACAGCUGCAGCAUUGCUGGGUCCUUAACCCACUGUGCUGGGCUGGGAAUGAACUGGUGCCUGCAGAGACAAGCAAGAUCUUUAACCCACCAUACCACAGAGGGAACUCUGCUACUCACUUUUGAGCAAAUGUUAUAUAUCAUCCUUUCCUAUCUCUAAAAAUUGUUCGCAUUUAAGAUAAUUUAUAUAAAUGGAAUCAAACAGAUGUUGUUUGACCUGGUUGCUAUCACUUAGCACAAUUAUUUUGAGGCUAUGUGUCUAUUUUGUUUGUAUAUCAAUAGUUUAUCUCUGUUGAUUAGAAAACAGUUGCAUGAAUAUAUUAAAAUUUGUGUAUCUAUAUACUUGAUGAAUAUUUGGGCUUUUUCCUGUUUUGCGCCAUUACAAACAAAGCUGCGGUGAAUAUUCAUAUACAUACCUCUGUAUGGACAUAUGCUCUCCUGCCUCUUAAGUAAAUACUUGGAAGUGGAAUCUGACUAUUAUGGUAGCAGUAGGUUUAACUUUAGAAAAAAUUAACUGCUCUAACUUUUUAAACCUUAACUGCCUUCCAUUUCCCAAAGUGGAUAUACCUUUUCACAUUUCCAUAAGUAGUGUAUGAAAUUUCUAAAAGUUCCAUGGUUUACCAACACUUAACACAGUAACUCUUUUUAAAUUUAGCCAUUCUCUUAGAUUUUUAGUAAUAGAUCAUUGUGUUUUAAAUUUGCAUUUACCUAGAUGACUGAUGAUGUAGCGUAUCACUUCACAGGGUCCUUGGGUCAGCUGUCUGUUCAAAUUAUUUCACCAUUUUAAAAAUUUAGGUUCUGUUUUAUUUUUGAGAGUUCCUUAAAUAUUCAUAUAUGACAAAGUCUUCUAUGCAUUAUAUGACUUCUAAAUAUUUUUGUCCCCAUCUAUGGCUUAUGUUUUCAUUUUCAUAACAGUAGGGCAUUUCAAAAGGCAGAAUUUUUUUUUAAUCUUGGUGAAGUCAAGUUGAAAAAUUUUUCCCUUUGUAUCAUGCUAUUAGUAUCAUAUCUAAGAAGUUUUUUCUGAAACCAAGAUCACAUAUAUUUUCUUCUAUAUUUUCUUUAGUUUUAGGUUUUACACUUGGAUCAAAGACACAUUUUAGGUUAAAUUUUUUAUUUCUUGUAAAGCAUAAAGAUUUGGAAGAGGGGUAGAUACCCAAUUGCCCCAUCACUAUUACUAAAUGUUUUUGUACUUUUGUUAAAAAUCAGUGGUCUGUAUACAUGCAGGACUAUUUCUAGACACGUCAUUCUUUUCCAUUGAUAUAUUUUUGUAUAUUCUGGCCAAUACAAGUUUUUUUUUAAUAAUUGCAGCUUUACAAUAAGUGGAGAAAUCAUAUAAUUUUAGUCCAAUGAAUUUUUCCUUCUUUUUCAAAAUUGUUUUCACUAUUUUGGUUCCUUUGCAUUUCCAUUUGACUUUUAUAAUUAUCUUAUUAAUCUCUAUGGAAAAAAAAGGCCUAAAAAGAUUUUGAUUAAGAUUUUGUUGAAUUUAGAAAUCAAUGUGGAGUGUCCAUUUGUGGUCUAAUAUGCUAAAUAUAAAGUGAAAGUAGGUGGUUUUAUUAACUUUGGGUAGGUAGACUAUUUAAAGUGUGAGUGCUAUAUAAACGGUCAUUUCUCAAAGAUCUAUCAAUAGCCAAUAAACACAUGAUAAGGUGAUUAACAUCAUUUGCCAUCAGAGAAGUUCUAAUCAAAAACCACAAUGAGAUAUUACUUCACACUCACAAAGGCAGCCGUAAUCAAAAAGACAGUAACAAGUGUUAAUAAGAAUACAGGAGUUCCCGUCGUGGCGCAGUGGUUAACGAAUCCGACUAGGAACCAUGAGGUUGCAGGUUCGAUCCCUGCCCUUGCUCAGUGGGUUAAGGAUCUGGCGUUGCCGUGAGCUGUGGUGUAGGUUGCAGACAUGGCUCGGAUCCCGCGUUGCUGUGGCUGUGGUGGAGGCCAGUGGCUACAGCUCCGAUUGGACCCCUAGCCUGGGAACCUCCAUAUGCCGCAGGAGAGGCCCAAGAAAU
rnacentral:lncRNA from 1 species